AGAAUCUUUCACAAUGGGGGCAACCCUGAUGGAGCGACGCCGCGUGGAGGAUAAGGUCUUCGGAUUGUAAACUCCUGCCAUGCGAGAGUAAGGCCCAUGCGUUAACUGAGUGUGGGAUUGACCGUACCGCAAGAGGGAGAGACGGCUAAAUCUGUGCCAGCAUCCGCGGUAAUACAGAGGUCUCAAGCGUUGUUCGGAAUUACUGGGCGUAAAGGGUGCGUAGGCUGCGCAGAAAGUCAGAUGUGAAAUCCGGGGGCUCAACCUCCGAAUUGCAUCCGAUACUCCUGUGCUAGAGGACUGGAGAGGAGCUUGGAAUUCUCGGUGUAGCAGUGAAAUGCGUAGAGAUCGAGAGGAACACUAGUGGCGAAGGCUGGGCUCUGGACAGUAUCUGACGCUGAGGCACGAAGGUCAGGGGAGCAAA
rnacentral:rRNA from 1 species